rnacentral:rRNA from 1 species
UUGCCUACGGGACGAAGCAGUGAGGAAUAAUGGUAAAUGGGGGGGAGCCUGAACCAGCCAAGCCGCGUGAGGGAAGAAGGUACAGCGUAUCGUAAACCUCUUUUGUCAGGGAACAAAGGCGGGGACUAGUCCCCGGAUGAGGGUACCUGAAGAAAAAGCAUCGGCUAACUCCGUGCCAGCAGCCGCGGUAAUACGGAGGAUGCGAGCGUUAUCCGGAUUUAUUGGGUUUAAAGGAUGCGCAGGCGGCCUGUUAAGUCAGCGGUAAAAGCCCGGGGCUCAACCCCGGCGAGCCGUUGAAACUGGCG